UUUUUCCUUCUUUUCUCUUCUGGUUUUUUUCCCUCUUCGUCUUUAAGUCUGUAAAGGGGUUCUUCUCUAAUUAAUAAUGUUUCUGUGAUGGUCCAAUGGAGUUUGUAGGCUCUAGAUACAGUCAGGCCUGAGAUAUUGGCUAAUCUUGUAUUGUUUAAACUUCGAAAAUAUUUAGUUGAUUUUUGGGUCGAUUUGUGUGUGGUUCACGAGAUCGAUUAGAUCAGUGACUGAAACCUUGUGGUCUAAGUGGUUCUUGAUGUACACUUGCUCUCUUGGAUGGUAGAUUGUGUCACAGUGGAAAAAGCUGUCCUUGAGCUCUCCAGAUUAGGCUUAUUGGCUGAACUUGGUCAAUAUUUUUAGUGUUCUUGUGUUCGUUUUAGGGUUUCUUGUGUGAUGGUUUUGUUUUGAUUCCAUUUCUUUAAAAUCAACUGUGAAUUCCUAACAAAACGGGUAUCAGAGCAAUUGGGUUUGGUGUUUUUUCUUACGAUCUACUGUGUCUUGGUUAAAUUGGCCUUUUAAUCUGUGUAGAUCUAGAAAGUUCUACACGAAUAUUUUUCGAUAUCUUGUCUUUAAUUUUUUGGAUAAAUUUAGGCAAUAAAUUGUUUACUAAUUUAUUUGUUUGAGUAAUGAAGGUGACAUAAACGAAGGCUUUGGUUGUUGGCUUAAUUUAACACAUUAUGUCAAAAUACCUUCUCUGCAGUAUUGGUAAGAUCUAUCCGGAAUACUUUGGGAAUUCGUUUUGACACUGGUUGUUCAUGAUACAUGCGUAUAUUGAUAUAUGUUGUUCUGGAUUUAGUGAAUUGGUAAUAUACAUGUAUCUUGUUUAUUUGCUUGCAAUAUGUUACUAAACCCGCUUUGUUUCUUGGAUAUCUGAUUAAAUUGAUAUAGAGAUAUACUAUCAAAUACUUGCCUUAUCUGCUUCAAUUUCUGAAUUUUUUUGGGAAUUUGGCUACUUGAAACUGUUUACUACAAAUGUUUCAAAACCUUUUUUGCAACAUCCAUGAGUUCAACCUACCUUUUUAUAGAAUCCAUAAUGGUUCAAAGGUCGAAUUGUCUCACUUCGAUGGAUAGGGGGAUUACUCUAUUUGGAAGUAGAAAAUGAGGGCCAUCUUGGUCCGAUAGAGGGUUGCAAAAGCCCUCGAUGAUCCUAAAACAUUUUCCACUUAGUUAAAAGCAAAACUCGUUGAAAUUGAAGAAAUGAAUGAAAUUGCCUAUAGUUCUAUAAUUUUGCAUUUAUCUGAUAAUGUGGUUAGACAAGUUGAUGAUGCCAAAACUGUAAGAACUUUGUGGACUGUCUUAGAUGACUUAUUCUUAACCAAGACUCUUCCUAACAAGAUAUAUUUGUUAGAAAAACAUUUUAGUUUUAAAAUGGACCCAAGAAAGUAUUUGGAAGACAAUUUAACUGAUUUUAGUAUAAUUGUUAAAAGUCUAGCACACAAUGAUAAAAAAUUUAAAGAUGAGGACUUGGCUGUUACUCUAUUGAAUUCAUUGCCUGAAUCUUAUAAAGAUGUCAAGAAUGCCAUAAAGUAUGCUAGGGACAUAUUUACACAAGCAAUUCUGAUAGAUGCUUUAAGGUCAAGAGAGCUAGGUGUGAGAAGAGAGAAUAGAACCAACUUAAGAGAAAAUCCAUUUGUAAGGGGAAGAAUUGAAAAGAAAGAAUUUAAUUUCCAAACCAAGAAGGAAAGGGAGAGAUCUAAAACUAGAUCCAAAUCUAAAGAUAGAAGUAGUAAGAAAUGUUAUAAUUGUGGGAAGCUGGGACACUUCAAGAGAGAAUGUUUUGACUGGAAAAAGAAACAGAAAAAUUAGAACAAAAAUGAUUAGAAUAAUGCAGCCAUAGUGUCUGAAUUGGACAGCCUACAUGUACUAAAUUGUCAACUGAAAACUCUAGUAAAGAUUGGAUUCUAAAUACUGGAUGUACCUUUCAUAUGUGUUCUGAAAGAUCAUGGUUUUAUAAUUACAAGGAAAUAGAACUAGGAAAAGUAUAUAUGGGAGAUAAUAAUUCCCAGACUGUGAUUGACACCGGUGACAUUGCCAUAAAAAUUCUUGAUGGCAUUGUCAGGCCAAUAGAAAAUGUGAGGUAUGUCCCAAAUUUGAAAAGGAACCUUAUUUCAUUAUAAAUCCUAGAAGAUGAGGGAUAUACACUCAGAUCUGAUAAUGAAAUUUUGAAAGUAAUGAAGGGUUCUUUUAUAGUGAUGAAAGGACAAAAAAGAAAUGGUUUAUACUAUCUAGAUGGAAAAAUAGUUAUAUCACCCGAUUCAAGUGUAUUAACUGUAAGUGAAAAUAAAUAUAGUCUUUGGCAUAAUAGAAUGGGACACAUUGAAAAUAAAGGGUUAAAAUCUUUAAGUAAUUAAAAAUUACUUGAAAAAGAUGAUAUUGAGUUUGUGGCCUUCUAUGAGACUUGUGUGUUGGGUAAGUCCCACAAGGUAAGUUUUGAGUCUAGCUCGCAUAGAACCAAUAGGCCCUUGGACUAUGUAGAUGUUGAUCGUUGGGGUCCUGAAAAGCAUUCCACCUUUGGUGGAAGUAAGUAUUUUUUAACACUUAUAUAUGAUUACUCUAGGAAGGUUUGGAUUUACCCUCUAAAGGCUAAGUCAAAAACCUUUCAAAAGUUCAGAACAUGGCUGAAAAUUGUUGAAAAUCAAUUAGAAAAAAAAUUAAAAACCCUAAGAACUGAUAAUGGGUUGGAGUUUUGUAAUGUAGAACUCGAUAAUUUCUGUAAGCAGAAAGGGAUAAUGAGGCAUAGAUUGUGAAAUACAUGCCCCAACAAAAUGGGAUAGCUGAGAGAAUGAACAGGACUAUAAUGAAUAAAGUUAGAUGCAUGCUUAUCAGUUCUAGUCUGGCUAAAGGGUUCUGGGCGGAAGCUGCAUGUACAACAGUCUAUUUGAUUAACAGAUCCCCCUCUAGUAGUAUAGGCUUCAAAAUCCCACAAGAAUUGUGGAUUGGAGAACCCCAAACUUAAUCCAUAUAGGAGUUUUUGGAUGUGCAACAUAUGCACAUCAAUGUGAAGGAAAACUGGAACCUAGAGCCAUCAAAUGUGUGAUUCUAGGCUAUCCAGAAGGUGUUAAAGGCAACAUAUUAUGGGUUUUAGGUGUUUCAAGCAUUAAGAUUAUCGAUAGUAGAGAUGUAAUCUUCAAUGAAUCAGAAAUGCCAUACCUAAAACAAGAGUUUAAAGGAAUAACUGAAUCUGAAAAUAACUAAACUAUUCAGAGAGAGGUGAAGUUAGCUAAAUUUAACUUACUCAACCCGAAUAUGAUGAAAAUAAUCUUGUUCAUCAUCAGAAUAAAACUAUUCCUGAAUCUGUAGAAGUUAAUGAACCCUAAAUUGAGGCUGAACUUGAAGAACCUGAAUAUGCUACUGAACAUACUAAUACACAAGACUAUCAACUCACUAGGGAUAGGCAAGAAGACAACCUAGACCUAAUCCCAAGUAUAAACUAUUAAAUCAGACAAAAUUUGCUUUAGUCUCUAAAGAAGAAAUAGAACAUGCUGAACUUGCCUCUUAUGAAGAAGUAGUUUAUGGGAAAAACUCUGAAAAUUGGAUAAAGGCCAUGAAAGAAGAGAUGCAGUCUCUUAAUGAAAAUAAAACUUGAAAGAUUGUUAGAAAACCUAAGGAUCAUAGGGUAGUACAAUGUAAAUGAGUUUACUAACUUUUUGAGGGUAACAGCCCCACUGAUGUUGUUAGGUUUAAGGCAAGACUAGUGGCAAAUUGGUAUACUCAAAAGGAGGGGGUUGAUUAUAAUGAGAUAUUCUCACCUGUAAUCAAGUAUAAAACUUCAGGUUGAUUCUAGCACUAGUUGCCCAAUAUAAUUGGGAACUUGAACAAUUUGAUGUUAAAACCGCCUUUUUACAUGGAGAGUUGGAAGAGGAUAUCUUCAAGAGUCAGCCUUAAGGUUUUGAAAUUAAAAGCGAGAUUGAUUAUGUAUGUAAACUUAAAAAAUCAUUGUAUAGACUGAAACAAAAACCUAGACAAUGGUGUAAAAGGUUUGAUGCAUAUGUAUUAAAGAUAAGGUUCAAAAGAAGUGAAUUUGAUGCUUGCUUAUACUAUAACAACUUGAAAAGUGGGGUGAAGUUUAUCUACUAUUGUAUGUAGAUGAUAUGCUUCUAGCUAGCCUUGAUAAGUCUCAAAUUACAAGAUUAAAAAAUCUCUUGAAAUUUGAAUUUGACAUGAAAGAUUUAAGAGGUGCUAGAAAUUUUUUAGGAAUGGUUAUACAGAAGAAUGGACCUGAAAACAGACUAACUAUUACACAAGAAGCAUAUCUAAACAAAGUAGUAACUAGGUUUGGAAUGAAAGAUAGUAAAGCUGUUAAUGUACCCCUUGCAGCUCAUAUGAAUCUAUUUAAAACUCACUCCCCUAAAUCUGAAGAAAACGUAAAAGAAAUGGGAAAAUACCUUAUGCAAAUACAGUAGGUUUUGUUAUGUUUUCAAUGAUAAUCGCCAGACCUGACCUUGCUUGUGCAAUCAAUUUAUAAAGCAAAUUUAUGUCCAACCCUGGUAAGCCUUGUUCAUGUCAAUUAUUUCUUCUCGAUUUUAAAACCCACCGCAAGUGUACGGUUCGUUAACAAGUAGUAAAGUGGACUAUGAGUCCUAGUAUCGUUCCCACGAGGAUUAAAUUAGCUCUAAUUAAACUAAUGUGACCUUAACCGAAUCUAAUUGAAUGAAAAUUUGGUUUAAAUAUGAAAACCCUAAUUUCGGGAGAAAUCCCCAAUUCGAAACCCUAAUUGCAAAGAAAACCCUAAUUUCAAAAUUGGAAACCCUAAAUUCAAAAUUUCACUAAUCUAAUGAAAUAAAUACGCAACUGAAAUGUAAAUAUGCAAUUUUAGAAUUAUUGUAUUGAAAUGAAUUGAAAUGAAAUCAUUAAGAACUUGAAUCCCCAAUUGAUUAUUAAAAACCCUAAUUUCACAAAUUCAACGAAUAGAUGAACAAAAGGCCAAUUCAAUGUUCCUAAAUUAUCCAAUACACUCUCUCGAUAUAUAUUGAAUCUACUCUUACACAUCACCAGCCUAUAUUUCUAUGGAUGAUGCAAUGUAUAAGAAUGCAUGACAUUUUAUGAACAUUUUCGUGAAUUGCAUAAAGCAUAGAGGUAAGUUUCCAUCCCCUAUCGGACCCUAUGUCGAUUUAUAUUCUAUCGAAUUUAUUCCCCUUCUUUCGAAUGCAAAGAAUAAAUCAUCUACAAUCACAUAAUAAUUGGCCAAAUAAUUAUGGAAACAUUCAACUCAUAUAAAUCAAACAUUUGUCCAAUCGAAAUUAAUAUUGAAUUUAUGAAAUAACGGAAAUUUAAAUCAUCAAAAGGUUCAUCAAAUUCCUAAUGAAUAAAAACCCUAGCCUAUAAUCAUCAUUGUAAAAUCAAGAAAUUGAAAAACGAAAUUAAAAGAUAAUAAGAAUACAUCCGUAUGGAAUUUCUUCAAUCCGUGUGUAUAAUCUUCAAUCCUGUCUAUAGCCCGUGUGAAAUUGAAUCCAAAAUCAAUUUUCUUCCUCCAAUUUUGGUUUUCUUCCUUCUCCCUGGUCGUUCUCUUCCUUCAUAUGAUGAAUUUUGGUAUUUAUAUCGAGUCCAAAUUAGGUAGGAAAAGAGUUUCAACCAAAACGAAAAACUGCGCCCGAGAGUUGAAAAUAACUCUAUGCGACCGCAUAGAAGGAAUCUAUGCGGUCGCAUAGAUCAAAAAAUUUGGGUUCUUUGAAUCCCUGGAGCCCUCUAUGCAACCGCAUAGAAGGUUACACUAUGCGGUCGCAUAGAGGUAACCAUCUAUGUGGUUUGUUCAAUUUGGUCCCUGAACUUCUUUGUUGCUUCUCUUGACUUCUUUCUUCGAUUUCUUCAUCUUUUCAACAAAUUUUAUCUUCCAAUUGAUGAUUGAUACCAUCAAUUCUUAUGCCCCUCAUUCGGCAUAUCUUUUGAGUAUUUGCGCUUUAGUCCUCCAAUUUUCAAUUGUCUUCAUUUCAGUCCCUCUUCAAUAUUUUCUUCUUCCAUUCGUUUUGCUUUGUCAUUGAACUCAUACUUGGCAUGUCUUCCCUCUCGUUUUGCAUUUAGCUCAACUUUUCAAUAUUUGCACCUUUGGUCCUCGAACUAUCAAAUUAUUGCGUUUUGGUCCUUCUUCGGCUCUUUUCUCCUGAAUUCCACAAUUUCCAUUGAAUUACCUACAAUGCAUAAAUUUAACUGGAUUAAGUCACAAUUCAACCAUUUUUUCCAUGUUUAAGUCAUGUUUAUGAUCCAAAUAAGUGUGUAAAAACACACUUAUCAAGCCUCAUUGGGCUGGAAUGAAAUGGUUGCUUAGAUAUAUUGUUGGUACAUUAAAUUUGGGACUUGUAUAUAAGAGAAGAUCUAAAAAUUUAACCCUAAAGGGCUAUGUAGAUGCUGACUUUGCUGGUGACAAAGAUAGUAGAAAAUCAACCACAACUUAUUUUUUUUACUCUUGGAGAAAAUUGCAUAACUCGGUAAUCUCAACUGUGGUUGCAUUAUUCAGGUCUGAAGCUGAGUGUGUAGCCAUAACUAAAGCUAUGAAAGAAUGUAUUUGGUUAAGAAGGAUUUUAAAAGAACUGAACUUUAUGAGUGAUACUCCUAUUAUAUACACUAAUAGCCAAAGUGCUCUAUUACUUAGUAAAAAUCUUGUCUAUCAUGAAAGAUCGAAACAUAUUGAGAUGACGUAUCAUUUUAUAAGAGAAAAAUUGUCUCAAAGUAAAGUUAAACUGGUUAAGGUUCAUACUGAUAGGAAUCCCUUUAAUAUGGGGACUAAAGUUUUUCUUGUAAAUAAGUGUAAAAUGUGUUUAUCCUUGCUCCAUAUUGACACAAGUUAAUUUUCUUUUAUAGGUUUUAGGGCAAUGAUGAUGGAUAGUAGUUCUACGUGCACUUUUAGCAACUAAAGAGCGAGUAUUGUUGAGAAUCAAUGUGAAGAAAGUGAAAAAUGGUGUUUCUCAAAACACUCUAAAAUGAGUGCUAUUUUUGUCAAUUGGUCUUCUUUGCUUACAUGGAUGAUCCUGCCUGGCACUCACCUAUUGGCCAUUUGAUGUUCACUUAGACUGUGCUAGUGGACAACUUUUCUGGACCAUUGGAUUUAAUCAAAGGCUGAGAUGAUUUCUUAGAAUAUGGAGCGUCCUUUUCUUUUGGCCAAAAUCACGAGACUUUUUCAUUCUUCCAGAUUUUUCCAUCUUCUCACUUCUGGUUUUUCUUUUUCUCUCUCUUCGUCUUCGAGUCUAUAAAGGGGUUCUUAUGUGAUUGGUAAUGUGUCUAUGAUGAUCCAAUGGAGUUUGUAGGUUCUAGAUACAGUCAUGCCUGAGAUGUUGGCUGAUCUUGUAUUGUUUAAACUUUGGAAACAUUUGGUUAAUUUUUGGGUUGAUUUGUGUUUGUUUCACGAGAUCGAUUGGAUCAGUGAUUGAAAUCUUGUGAUCUGAGUGGUUCUUGAUGUACCCUUCUCUCUUGGACAGUAGAUUAUACCAUAGUGGAACGAGCUAUCCGUAAGCCCUCCCAGAUUAGGC
rnacentral:lncRNA from 1 species